rnacentral:rRNA from 1 species
CAAGUCGAGCGGGCGUAGCAAUACGUCAGCGGCAGACGGGUGAGUAACGCGUGGGAACGUACCUUUUGGUUCGGAACAACACAGGGAAACUUGUGCUAAUACCGGAUAAGCCCUUACGGGGAAAGAUUUAUCGCCGAAAGAUCGGCCCGCGUCUGAUUAGCUAGUUGGUGAGGUAACGGCUCACCAAGGCGACGAUCAGUAGCUGGUCUGAGAGGAUGAUCAGCCACAUUGGGACUGAGACACGGCCCAAACUCCUACGGGAGGCAGCAGUGGGGAAUAUUGGACAAUGGGCGCAAGCCUGAUCCAGCCAUGCCGCGUGAGUGAUGAAGGCCCUAGGGUUGUAAAGCUCUUUUGUGCGGGAAGAUAAUGACGGUACCGCAAGAAUAAGCCCCGGCUAACUUCGUGCCAGCAGCCGCGGUAAUACGAAGGGGGCUAGCGUUAUCCGGAUUCACUGGGUUUAAAGGGUGCGCAGGCGGGCUUUUAAGUCAGCGGUGAAACCCGCGGGCUCAACCCGCGGACUGCCGAUGAUACUAGGGGCCUUGGAUGUCGCUGAGGGCAGCGGAAUGGGGCAUGUAGCGGUGAAAUGCAUAGAUAUGCCCCGGAACACCGAUUGCGGAGGCAGCUGCCUAAAGGACGAUCGACGCUGAGGCACGAAAGCGUGGGUAGCGAACAGGAUUAGAUACCCUGGUAGUCCACGCCCUAAACGAUGAUUACUCGACGUCCGCGGCAUACUGUGGGCGUCCAAGCGAAAGCAU